UCCAGAGGGGGCAAGCGUUAUUCGGAAUUAUUGGGCGUAAAGGGCGCGUAGGCGGCCUGGCAAGUGGAAGGUGAAAUCCCUCGGCUUAACCGAGGAACUGCCCUCCAAACUGCUUGGCUUGAGUCCGGGAGAGGUGAGUGGAAUUCCCAGUGUAGCGGUGAAAUGCGUAGAUAUUGGGAGGAACACCAGUGGCGAAGGCGGCUCACUGGACCGGAACUGACGCUGAGACGCGAAAGCGUGGGGAGCAAACAGG
rnacentral:rRNA from 1 species